GAUGAACGCUAGCUACAGGCUUAACACAUGCAAGUCGAGGGGAAACGACAUCGAAAGCUUGCUUUUGAUGGGCGUCGACCGGCGCACGGGUGAGUAACGCGUAUCCAACCUGCCCAUCACUUGGGAAUAACCUUGCGAAAGUAAGACUAAUACCCAAUGACAUCCCACGAAGACAUCUGAAUGGGAUUAAAGAUUUAUCGGUGAUGGAUGGGGAUGCGUCUGAUUAGCUUGUUGGCGGGGUAACGGCCCACCAAGGCAACGAUCAGUAGGGGUUCUGAGAGGAAGGUCCCCCACAUUGGAACUGAGACACGGUCCAAACUCCUACGGGAGGCAGCAGUGAGGAAUAUUGGGCAAUGGGCGAGAGCCUGAACCAGCCAAGUAGCGUGCAGGAUGACGGCCCUAUGGGUUGUAAACUGCUUUUAUAAGGGAAUAAAGUGGGUCUCGUGAGACUUUCUGCAUGUACCUUAUGAAUAAGAACCGGCUAAUUCCGUG
rnacentral:rRNA from 1 species